GAUUGCAGGUUGGAGUCUUUGUGGAAGCGUGUGUCUAAGUCCCUUGGAACAGGGUGCCAUUGAGGGUGAGAGCCCCGUGAGACGCGUGCGGAAGCUGUAAGGCCCUUCUGACGAGUCGAGUUGUUUGGGAAUGCAGCUCUAAGUGGGUGGUAAAUUCCAUCUAAGGCUAAAUAUUGGCGAGAGACCGAUAGCGAACAAGUACUGUGAAGGAAAGAUGAAAAGCACUUUGAAAAGAGAGUGAAACAGCACGUGAAAUUGUUGAAAGGGAAGGGUAUUGGGCUCGACAUGGGAUUUGCGCACCGCUGCUCCUUGUGGGCGGCGCUCUGUGCUUUUCCUGGGCCAGCAUCGGUUUUUGCCGCAGGAGAAGGCGUGCUGGAAUGUGGCUCUUCGGAGUGUUAUAGCCAGUGCGAGAUGCUGCGUGCGGGG
rnacentral:rRNA from 1 species